rnacentral:rRNA from 1 species
UACGUAGGGUGCGAGCGUUAAUCGGAAUUACUGGGCGUAAAGCGUGCGCAGGCGGUUUUGUAAGCCAGAUGUGAAAUCCCCGGGCUUAACCUGGGAACUGCAUUUGUGACUGCAAGGCUAGAGUACGGCAGAGGGGGGGUAGAAUUCCACGUGUAGCAGUGAAAUGCGUAGAUAUGUGGAGGAAUACCGAUGGCGAAGGCAGCCCCCUGGGUCGAUACUGACGCUCAUGCACGAAAGCGUGGGGAGCAAACAGG